GACGAACGCUGGCGGCGUGCUUAACACAUGCAAGUCGAGCGGUAAGGCCCUUUCGGGGGUACACGAGCGGCGAACGGGUGAGUAACACGUGGGUGACCUGCCCUCAGCUCUGGGAUAAGCCUGGGAAACUCGGUCUAAUACUGGAUAUGACUCCACGGUGCAUGUCGUGGGGUGGAAAGCCUUGUGCGGCUGAGGAUGGGCCCGCGGCCUAUCAGCUUGUUGGUGGGGUGAUGGCCUACCAAGGCGACGACGGGUAGCCGGCCUGAGAGGGCGACCGGCCACAUUGGGACUGAGACACGGCCCAGACUCCUACGGGAGGCAGCAGUGGGGAAUCUUGCGCAAUGGGCGAAAGCCUGACGCAGCGACGCCGCGUGAGGGAUGACGGCCUCGGUGUAAC
rnacentral:rRNA from 1 species